rnacentral:rRNA from 1 species
UACGGAGGGUGCGAGCGUUGUCCGGAAUCACUGGGCGUAAAGGGCGCGUAGGCGGUUGGGGAAGUCCGUGGUGAAAGCUCGUGGCUCAACCCCGCGUCGGCCGUGCGAACUGUUUUGCUUGAGCACUGUAGAGGCAGGCGGAAUUCCGGGUGUAGCGGUGGAAUGCGUAGAGAUCCGGAAGAACACCGGUGGCGAAGGCGGCCUGCUGGGCAGUAGCUGACACUGAGGCGCGACAGCGUGGGGAGCAAACAGG